UACGGGGGGUGCAAGCGUUAUUCGGAAUUAUUGGGCGUAAAGGGUGCGUAGGCGGUUUUGUAAGUCAGAUGUGAAAUCCCGGGGCUUAACUUCGGAACUGCAUUUGAUACUGCAAGACUUGAGUAUGGGAGAGGAGAGCGGAAUUCCUGGUGUAGAGGUGAAAUUCGUAGAUAUCAGGAGGAACACCGGUGGCGAAGGCGGCUCUCUGGACCAAUACUGACGCUGAGGCACGAAGGCGUGGGGAGCAAACAGGAUUAGAUACCCUGGUAGUCCACGCAGUAAACGUUGAUCACUUGGUGUUGCGGGUAUUGACCCCUGCGGCGCCGUAGCUAACGCGUUAAGUGAUCCGCCUGGGGAGUACGGUCGCAAGAUUAAA
rnacentral:rRNA from 1 species